GGCCUCGUAGCUCAGCUGGUAGAGCGCGCACGUGCAAAGCGUCGGCAGUGUCCAUACGCGGGUUCGAAUCCCACCGAGGUUA
rnacentral:tRNA from 1 species